rnacentral:rRNA from 1 species
GAUGAACGCUGGCGGCGUGCCUAAUACAUGCCAGUCGAGCGAACGGACGAGAAGCUUGCUUCUCUGAUGUUAGCGGCGGACGGGUGAGUAACACGUGGAUAACCUACCUAUAAGACUGGGAUAACUUCGGGAAACCGGAGCUAAUACCGGAUGAUAUUUUGAACCGCAUGGUUCAAAAGUGAAAGACGGUCUUGCUGUCACUUAUAGAUGGAUCCGCGCUGCAUUAGCUAGUUGGUAAGGUAAUGGCUUACCAAGGCAACGAUGCAUAGCCGACCUGAGAGGGUGAUCGGCCACACUGGAACUGAGACACGGUCCAGACUCCUACGGGAGGCAGCAGUAGGGAAUCUUCCGCAAUGGGCGAAAGCCUGACGGAGCAACGCCGCGUGAGUGAUGAAGGUCUUCGGAUCGUAAAACUCUGUUAUUAGGGAAGAACAUACGUGUAAGUAACUGUGCACAUCUUGACGGUACCUAAUCAGAAAGCCACGGCUAACUACGUG